CCCUCAGCACGACGAGGAGCCCAUGGUGUGGGACCCCGCUGCAGAGCCCAGCGAGGAGCAGCUCCUUCUCCCCACUACUAUGUUUAAACAGAAAACACUCAUACUCAUCAACUGAUUCUGUCCAUCUCUACAAACUACCACAGACAGCAACGAACAAAAAAGAAGACUCAAGAGGAAACCAACUUAAAUAGAACCUCCCCAACACUUCAGCAUUGAUUGGUGAGAGAAAGUUAACAGACAGUGAGGCAGUGUGGGGAUUGGAGCCCCGAGCCCCACACCCCCAGAGGGGCUGGAGCCCAGAGUCCUGUGUCCCAAGUCGGGUGGAAGGCUGGAGCCCUGAGGGCGGCUGAAGUCUGGAGCACCGGAGGUGGCAGAGGAGCUGAAGGAUUGAGUCCUGCAGAGGGCUGAAGGCUGCAGCCCCAUGCCCCAAUGGGGGCUGAAGGUUGGAGCCCCAUAGGGCUGAAAGUAGGGGAUCACAUUUUUUUCUACCAUAUUCUUCAGAUUGGAGCUACAUUAGCCUGGAAAACCAGACUGAAACUGAACAUGGAGGGAAAUUGAAAUAAGAGAAUAAUUGUUGGUAUCCAGAAAACGAAGGCCCAUCUAGCAGGCUUCUACAUAUAACCAUGGAAAAAGCAAUGUACCAUUUCCAAAAUUCACAAUCAAAAUGUGCAAUUUUAGAGGAGAACAAAAACAUAGCCACAAAGGGGCAUUAAGUAUUUUAUUGAUUAUUUGAAGGUGGGAAGCCAGAUUCCACUAUGCUUAUGUGUAUGUUGUAAAAUUGAUGGUAGAUUGUAAGGAUACCAAAGAAAAUGUAAAUAUGCCAAAAUGUGCUGUUUCUCUUCUAAGUGAUACUUAACUCUGAAGGACCUGAAGCCAUUCAUUACACCAUCAAAUGAAGUCAGAGUUAGAAAUUAAUUACAGCAUGACAUAUUGAUGGAAACAAAGCUAAAAUUAUCCUGUCAGCAACAAUAGGGCAGCUGAAUAUGGUCAGUGGAGGUUACCCCAUGAUAGAGCUGAUGGUAACUAUUCUAAAAACAUUUAUCCUGCUAGACUGAGGGAACAAGAUGGAAGAUGGGGGGGGAAAAGAGGGGAUAGGAAUUUUUAGGGAAAAAUGGCAGGAAAGAACUAAAGAUAUAAUUUGUUUGGCGCUCCCCUUCUAUGAAAUUCUAGACAUAUUCCCUGUAUUCUCUUUAACCAAAGAAAUCUUGUUAAUUUGUUUGGUGUUUGCAAUCAGUCUAUUAUACACCAUGACAUUCCCUACUCAGAACACUGAAAAUGUAUUUACAUGCUGCACUGAAAUUUUCCAGAAUCACCAUGCCGGUCCAUUGCAUCAACCAGUGAUAUGCACGUAACACCAGCUUUAAAAUAUAUAAUAAAAAAAAACCUGCAACUACUUUACUUAACUAAACUGAAGGAUAAAUGCAGUAGGUAUCCCCAAGUGACUAGGCUAAUGAACAUAUACUAACUAAUGAACUUGUUUUCUAAAGUCAUGUAUGAAAUGUUAUGUAUAUCAGCUAUCCUAGCAAGUUGAGUCAUGGAUGACCUAAUUUAUUUGCAGAGCACUUUUAGUGUCAAAUUUAAUGAUUUCAACUGAUUUAAUACAAUAGAUAAUGCAAGCUGUCCACCUUAUAUGCUGGUUGCUUUCUUAAGGUCAGCUCAUUAGCAUAGAUAAUUAGCCUGGCUCAGCCAAUUAGUUUCUAAAUAUUACCAUAAUUGCUAUUUCUCUCUGUCUCCCCUCUUCCAUCAUCCUAUUUUUAGAUAGCAAAGCUCCUCCCCCAAUGCCAUUUUGGGUAGAGCUCCUUCCUCUGACAUCAUAUUUAGCCGUAGCUCCUCCCCUUGAGGUCUUGGGAGAAAUGUUGAGUCAUUCCCUAUUAAUUGACAGAAUUUUCCAUACCCUAACCCAAUGUCUUUCAUAAAGGAUUAUUGA